CCUACGGGUGGCAGCAGUGGGGAAUAUUGCACAAUGGGGGGAACCCUGAUGCAGCGACGCCGCGUGAGCGAGGAAGUAUUUCGGGAUGUAAAGCUCUAUCAGCAGGGACGAAAAAAGACGGUACCGGACUAAGAAGCCCCGGCUAACUACGUGCCAGCAGCCGCGGUAAUACGUAGGGGGCAAGCGUUAUCCGGAUUUACGGGGUGUAAAGGGAGCGUAGACGGCAAGGCAAGCCAGAAGGGAAAGGGCAGGGCUCAACCCUGUACAUGCUUUUGGAACUGUGGUGCUAGCGUGCAGGAGCGGUAAGUGUAAUUCCUAGUGUAGCGGUGAAAUGCGUAGAUAUUAGUCGGAACACCAGUGGCGAAGGCGGCUUACUGGACUGUAACUGCCGUUGAGGCUCGAAAGCGUGGGGAGCAAACAGGAUUAGAUACCCGAGUAGUC
rnacentral:rRNA from 1 species